CCAAAUUACACCCUUUACUACUUGGAAUGAGCUCAGAAUCAAGCAAAACUCAAUAAAUGAGUCUAGGGAGAGUCAAAACUUGUUUUUAGCGAUUUUAUGCUUAUUUUGCAUUGUUUUGUAGCUAAUUUGAGAGAAGUAAGAAUGGAGUUGGAGAUACAGGUCGUUGACUCAAGAAAAGAGCAGAAAAAUGAAGUUUUGAAGAGUUGACGUACCGCCCAGCGGCACACUUAAACCGUUGGGCGGUCCAGGACAAGGAGUUGACAUGGAAAAUGUCACUGAGGGAAACCGCCGGGCGCUAGCGAUUGCCGCCGGGAGGCGGCAGAAGGAUAUGGGAAAUUGUCGGGUGGUGGCGGCAGGUUAUGGGAAACUACCGGGCAACACACUUAAACCGCCCUGCGGUGGCAUGCUGGACUUGGGCCUGUUUUUGACACGCUCCUCACCUAUAAAUACCCCUAUUACGAAUUCAGAGUCAUUCUUUUGACAGGGGAGAACGGCCAGACCUAAUUUUGCUCUCUAGAGAGGAUCUCUUGGAUGCUUAGGCUCCUUUUCAUCUUUUCUAGGGUUUGCUCUUCCAUUCUUCUUCCAUUUUUCAUCUAGCUUCACCAUGUCUAUGGUGAACUAAACCCUAUUCUUGUUGGGGAAAACAAUGUAAUCUUUUGAUGCUCUCUCUUAUUGAAACUAUUGAAUAUUUAUAUGGUCUCCAUAUGUUUUGAUUGAUUAUUGUUGGGUUAUCAUCUAUGCUUAAGGCCUUUAUCGUUUAACUCAUUCGGUAUAUUGAUGUUUGCCGUUAUUGAUAUGGGGACGUACAGUAAUGACAUGAACUGGUGAGUAAUCUCUUGAUUUUGCAAUACCACCUAGGGGUAGGGGUAGGACGAUCAAUUGCGCUAACUUCUGUUUAUAAUGCGAUAUUAAUUACUAGGGGAGGCUAGGGAUAGCAAGCCAGUAGUUAAUAUUAGGCCCUUUUCGCCGAGGGAUCGGGUUAAGGGGAGGCUAAGAAAGUCGCAUAACAAUUGAAUCAAUCUAAUAUUCAAGGGUAGUAUGUAAGAGAGAGCGGAAUAGAUGAAAUUGUUA
rnacentral:lncRNA from 1 species